GACGAACGCUGGCGGCGUGCUUAACACAUGCAAGUCGAGCGGUAAGGCCCUUUCGGGGGUACACGAGCGGCGAACGGGUGAGUAACACGUGGGUGACCUGCCCUCAGCUCUGGGAUAAGCCUGGGAAACCGGGUCUAAUACUGGAUAUGACUCCAUGACGCAUGUUGUGGGGUGGAAAGCCUUGUGCGGCUGAGGAUGGGCCCGCGGCCUAUCAGCUUGUUGGUGGGGUGANGGCCUACCAAGGCGACGACGGGUAGCCGGCCUGAGAGGGCGACCGGCCACACUGGGACUGAGAUACGGCCCAGACUCCUACGGGAGGCAGCAGUGGGGAAUCUUGCGCAAUGGGCGAAAGCCUGACGCAGCGACGCCGCGUGAGGGAUGACGGCCUGG
rnacentral:rRNA from 1 species